AGCGAACGCUGGCGGCAGGCCUAACACAUGCAAGUCGAACGAAGUCUUCGGACUUAGUGGCGGACGGGUGAGUAACACGUGGGAACGUGCCUUUAGGUUCGGAAUAACUCAGGGAAACUUGUGCUAAUACCGAAUGUGCCCUUCGGGGGAAAGAUUUAUCGCCUUUAGAGCGGCCCGCGUCUGAUUAACUAGUUGGUGAGGUAAAGGCUCACCAAGGCGACGAUCAGUAGCUGGUCUGAGAGGAUGAUCAGCCACAUUGGGACUGAGACACGGCCCAAACUCCUACGGGAGGCAGUAGUGGGGAAUCUUGCGCAAUGGGCGAAAGCCUGACGCAGCCAUGCCGCGUGAAUGAUGAAGGUCUUAGGAUUGCAAAAUUCUUUCACCGGGGACGAUAAUGACGGUACCCGGAGAAGAAGCCCCGCCUAACUUCGUGCCAGCCGCCGCCGUAAGAC
rnacentral:rRNA from 1 species